CCUACGGGAGGCAGCAGUGAGGAAUAUUGGUCAAUGGACGAGAGUCUGAACCAGCCAAGUAGCGUGAAGGAUGACUGCCCUAUGGGUUGUAAACUUCUUUUAUAAAGGAAUAAAACGAGGCACGUGUGCCUUUUUGCAUGUACUUUAUGAAUAAGGAUCGGCUAACUCCGUGCCAGCAGCCGCGGUAAUACGGAGGAUCCGAGCGUUAUCCGGAUUUAUUGGGUUUAAAGGGAGCGUAGAUGGGUUGUUAAGUCAGUUGUGAAAGUUUGCGGCUCAACCGUAAAAUUGCAAUUGAUACUGGCAGUCUUGAGUACAGUUGAGGUAGGCGGAAUUCGUGGUGUAGCGGUGAAAUGCUUAGAUAUCACGAAGAACCCCGAUUGCGAAGGCAGCUUACCAAGCUGUGACUGACAUUGAUGCUCGAAAGUGUGGGUAUCAAACAGGAUUAGAUACCCGGGUAGUC
rnacentral:rRNA from 1 species